UCUAUAUUCCUGCUAGUAAUCAUAAUCCUUUUUAAAUUAUAUGGCUCCAAUGCAUGCAGUAAGUAAUGUCCCUUUCAUUGCAAUGUAUAUUAAAGCCAGUUACAACACCUUAUUGUGAAGCAAAGUUAAUAGCUGUAACUGGUAGCAAUAUUUCAGCCUCUUGCCAGCUUAUAGGUGAUAAAAUAUUAAUUCUUAUGUCUGUCACAAAGAAUUGUAACUCCUGAGCCGUCACACUUACCAAGCAUCAUAAAUUACUAAAUAUUUAAUCAAAAAUGAUGUAGCAAAUCGGUGUUGUCAUGGGAGUUUUCUUAGUCGUCACAUUACUUGUCAAUAUUGCCCUUAGCUGGAAGCAUACUUGCUUCUCCUAAAGAAACCAAGAAGUUCCACACCUGGACAUGUGCAAUCCAUAGCACAACACAGUUGCCAGUGAACCAUAAACCAUGGGUAUGUGUGCAUUGCAGGGGUCAGUGGAGAGACACCAUUAAGCUGCUCAGGCAGCUGCUUUUGAAUUGCCACAAAAGACAACCUAACACAUUGCAGAAAACUGGAAUUGUUGGUGGUUUACCUUAAUAUGACAGGCUGCAAACUGCUGUGGUUCAUUAUUUCAAAAGCAGCUGAGCAGCCCCAGCAGCUGGCUGGGAACCGACAGAAGGAAGGAGAGACAGGUAAAGCUCAAAGCCUUUGACAUGGAAGAUGACCAGAAGCCAAGAGGAUGCCUGGGACUGUUACACUUUUUUGGAAAGCCCUGAUGAGUUCUUCUCUUGUUAUGACCACAUGAAGACAUAUCACAUAGAAGACAUCAACUUCCAUUUGCAGAGAUCCACAUCCUGGUCCUUUCUUCAUGACCAGUUUGCAAGCACCCACAAGUCCUCCACAUGCUGGGAUUUUUCUCCAUGA
rnacentral:lncRNA from 14 species